GUCUCUUUAGUAUAAAAUAUAAAUAACUUCCAAUUAUUAGAUCUUAGCUAAGAAGAGACA
rnacentral:tRNA from 2 species